rnacentral:rRNA from 1 species
CCUACGGGUGGCAGCAGUAGGGAAUCUUCCACAAUGGGCGAAAGCCUGAUGGAGCAACGCCGCGUGGGUGAAGAAGGUCUUCGGAUCGUAAAACCCUGUUGUUAGAGAAGAAAGUGCGUGAGAGUAACUGUUUACGUUUCGACGGUAUCUAAUCAGAAAGCCACGGCUAACUAUGUGCCAGCAGCCGCGGUAAUACGUAGGUGGCAAGCGUUAUCCGGAUUUAUUGGGCGUAAAGUGAACGCAGGCGGUCUUUUAAGUCUGAUGUGAAAGCCUUCGGCUUAACCGGAGUAGUGCAUUGGAAACUGGGAGACUAGAGUGCGGAAGAGGAGAGUGGAACUCCAUGUGUAGCGGUGAAAUGCGUAGAGAUAUGGAAGAACACCAGUGGCGAAAGCAGCUCUCUGGUCUGUAACUGACGCUGAGGUUCGAAAGCGUGGGUAGCAAACAGGAUUAGAUACCCUUGUAGUC